rnacentral:rRNA from 1 species
AACGAACGCUGGCGGCGUGCCUAACACAUGCAAGUCGUGCGAGAAAGUUCCUUCGGGAGCGAGUAAAGCGGCGCACGGGUGAGUAACACGUAGGUAACCUGCCCCCCAGUCUGGAACAACUAGAGGAAACUCUAGCUAAUGCCGGAUGAGACCACGAUCCCCUUCGGGGGGUUGCGGGCCAAAAGAUGGCCUCUACUUGUAAGCUAUCGCUGAGGGAUGGGCCUGCGGGCCAUUAGCUUGUUGGUGAGGUAACGGCUCACCAAGGCUGUGAUGGCUAGCUGGUCUGAGAGGAUGACCAGCCACACUGGGACUGAGACACGGCCCAGACUCCUACGGGAGGCAGCAGUGGGGAAUAUUGCGCAAUGGGCGAAAGCCUGACGCAGCGACGCCGCGUGGGUGAUG